UACGUGGAGGUGCGAGCGUUGUCCGGAAUUAUUGGGCGUAAAGGGCUCGUAGGCGGUUUGUCGCGUCGGGAGUGAAAUCCACUGGCUUAACUGGUGGCUUGCUUUCGAUACGGGCAGACUGGAGGUAUGCAGGGGAGAACGGAAUUCCUGGUGUAGCGGUGAAAUGCGCAGAUAUCAGGAGGAACACCGGUGGCGAAGGCGGUUCUCUGGGCAUGUCCUGACGCUGAGGAGCGAAAGUGUGGGGAGCGAACAGG
rnacentral:rRNA from 1 species